ACUUGUUUGGGCAGAGCUGUUGUUGUUGCUGCGGUUCCGCUCGUGAUUUAACUGCAAAUUAUGCAAAAUUGUUGUCUAAAAACCAGAGGCUAAGUAGGUGCCAGAUUGUUGCGAACCGAAAUCCAAAUUCCGACGGCGACACGAGGAGAAGGCGACUGAGAAUCGAAUUUUCUCCGCUCGCUGCGAUUCUCCAAUGUGGCUGCGACGAAAACACACGACAGACUGAAGAAGCCUGAAGACCGGAGACUGGAGCCGGGCUCUCUCUCUUGCUUCAGGAUGCCCGAGCGCAGAAAUCCACCUCGACUUCAACCCACCUGUGGUCAAGAAAUUGCUGUAAUGAAGAUGGCGAGCCCCGAAGAAACGGAGUCGCUCAGAGGUGAAUAGUUUCUCCCCAGAGUGGUUUGGUCGGUUUCUCCCAGAGAAUCGGAGAAGAAUUUCAAAAGGUGCACACACAAUACACAAAAUAAAAUCGACGACAGGUCCACAAUUAGCCAGGGAAGAGAGCUAUCUGUCUAUAGCUGCUCUCCCGCUCCGAGAGCGACCCGCUAU
ensembl:ncRNA lncRNA:CR44988 long non-coding RNA:CR44988